GUGUCUGACAUAAACAGCUUCAAAUUUACAUUAAAACAUAUGCAACCAAUAACCAAGGAAUUGUAUAUAUAAUAACAAAAAAUAUCCAUAACGUAAUUAUAUACCAGAUACAAAUUUCUCACAAAGUAUAAUGAUAUUACAAACGACUUAACUUCUACACAACAACAAAGAAAAACUAUAAAGAAUUCACACACUUCCACAUAGGUCAAAAUUAUUGCAUUGUUGCCAAUAACUUUAAGAACCAUUAUUAGCUUACUAUUUUCAAAGGUAUAGGCACAACAAUAUCAUAUGCUGAUAAAUAUGAUCUAAUUUAAGAUGCUGCAAGUUUGGUGUUUGGGUUGAAAGAAAGCUGCUCAGCACAUGUAAGGACGUCCUUACAUGAAGCUGGGAUCCAUGACGUCCUUACAUGUGCUGAGCAGCUUCCUUUCAACCCAGCCGACACCAAGAAGGUCAAGAUAAUAUAGGUAAUGGGAAACGAUAUUGCUCAUUGAUUCAACAUCACCCUGUACACAAACACCUUCGCUAUAGAGAAUGUUCAUUGUAGCACCGAAGCCAGGAACCCGUUUCCCUAAAGUGUCGUUCUUGGUAGGCUUCCAGUUGCCAACGCAGCCUGGAAAGCAAGUGUUGCAUUCUACUCUAACUCUAUGUAUUCCGGAUGUUCAAGUAGAUUCACGUUCAGAGCUUUUCCAGCAGCUUCAUAAUUGUAGUUCC
rnacentral:lncRNA from 1 species